GGGAUCACAGAUCAAGGGGAUCUCAGUGCCAUGAGCUGGAGGACCAUGACUGCAAGAACAAUCAACUCCCAGUUGACCCUGAAAUUGUGUGGGAUCUCCUGCUAGAGCUAGAUCCUUACAAAUGUAUGGAGCCUGAUGGGAUUCAUCCCAGAAUCCUCAAAGAGGUGGUUG